UACGGAGGGAGCUAGCGUUGUUCGGAAUUACUGGGCGUAAAGCGCACGUAGGCGGCUUUGUAAGUUAGAGGUGAAAAGCCCGGAGCUCAACUCCGGAACUGCCUUUAAGACUGCAUCGCUUGAAUCCAGGAGAGGUGAGUGGAAUUCCGAGUGUAGAGGUGAAAUUCGUAGAUAUUCGGAAGAACACCAGUGGCGAAGGCGGCUCACUGGACUGGUAUUGACGCUGAGGUGCGAAAAGCGUGGGGGAGCAAACAGG
rnacentral:rRNA from 1 species